UACGUAGGGUGCGAGCGUUGUCCGGAAUUAUUGGGCGUAAAGGGCUCGUAGGCGGUUUGUCGCGUCGGGAGUGAAAACGCCGUGCUUAACACGGCGCUUGCUUUCGAUACGGGCAGACUAGAGGUAUGCAGGGGAGAACGGAAUUCCUGGUGUAGCGGUGAAAUGCGUAGAUAUCGAGAGGAACACCUGCGGCGAAGGCGGGUUGCUGGGCUGACACUGACGCUGAUGCGCGAAAGCCAGGGGAGCGAACGGG
rnacentral:rRNA from 1 species